AUGGAGGUACCAUGGGCGCCCUCCCUCGCGGUCCUGCUGGCCACCGCCCUCUUCCUCGUGGCCGCCGUUCUCCUUCGCCACCGGCAGCAAGCGCGCAAGUACAACAUCCCGCCCGGGCCUCGGCCAUGGCCGGUGAUCGGCAAUCUUAACCUCAUAGGCCCCCUGCCACACCACUCCAUCCACGCGCUCUCGGCGCGGUAUGGCCCGCUCAUGUCCCUCCGGUUUGGUUCCUUCCCCAUCGUCGUCGGCUCCUCCCUUGAGGCGGCCGAGUUCAUCCUGAGGACACACGACCUGGCGUUCCUCGACCGGCCCCGGAUGGCCUGCGGCAAGUACACCGUGUACAACUUCUCCGGCAUGCUCUGGUCACACUACGGUCCAUACUGGCGCCAGCUACGCAAGCUAUGGCUGACGGAGCUUCUUAGCGCGAGGCAGCUCAGGCUGACGGAGCACAUCCGUGGCGAGGAGGUGCGCGCCAUGCUGCGCGACCUGCACCCGAGCACCUCCACCGGGCGCACGGUGGUGCUCAAGGACCACCUCCUCAUGGUGACCCUCAACGUCAUCUCGCGCAUGGUGCUUGGCAGGAAGUACGUCGGCGAAGGGGCUAGCUCGGCCUCGGCGGCGAAGCCGGAGGAGUUCAGGUGGAUGAUCGAGGAGAUCUUCUUCCUCAACGGCGCGCCUCAUAUCGGGGACAUGAUCCCGUGGCUUAGCUGGCUAGACCCGCAAGGGUACGUGGGCAGGAUGAAGAGGCUGAGCAAGAUGUUCGACCGAUUCAUCGAGCACGUGCUGCGCGAGCACAACGAGCGGCGGCUGCAAGAGGGCAAGGCGUUCGUCCCCAUGGACAUGGUCGACCUGCUGCUACAGCUCGCCGAUGACCCCACCCUUGAGGUCCCCAUUACUGGCGACGGUGUCAAGGCAGCCGUUCUGGAGGUCAUCGCCGGCGCCACGGACACCUCGGCCGUGACCGUGGAGUGGGCCAUGUCCGAGCUCCUGAGGAAGCCCCGCGUCCUCGCGAAGGUCACCGAGGAGCUGGACCGUGUGGUCGGCCGCGACCGCCUAGUCGCCGAGGGUGACAUCUCCAGCCUCCCGUACCUAGAAGCCGUCGUGAAGGAGACCAUGCGGCUCCACCCUGUGGUACCCCUUCUCAUACCGCGGGUGUCUCGUGAGCACACGUCCGUAGCAGGCUAUGAGAUCCCGGUGGGCACACGCGUGCUCGUCAACGUCUGGGCUAUCGGCCGGGACCCGACUGUGUGGGGGGAGACGGCCGCGGAAUUUCAGCCGGAGCGGUUCCUUGGGAGCAAGGUGGAUGUCAAGGGCCACGACCUGGAACUGCUACCUUUUGGUGCUGGUCGCAGGAUGUGCCCAGCCCACGGCCUCGGGCUCAAGAUGGUUCAGCUGGUGCUGGCAAACUUACUGCACGGCUAUGCGUGGAGACUCCCCGAUGGCGUGGCGGCUGAGGAGCUGAGCAUGGAGGAGAAGUUUGGCAUAUCCGUGUCUCGCAUGCACCACCUCCACGCUAUCCCUGAGCCCAAGCUUCUGGAUCACCUCUAUUUCGGGCCAUGA
rnacentral:rRNA from 1 species